AAACUAUUUCCUCCGUCCUAAAAUUCUUGUCUUAGAUUUGUCUAAAUACGUACAUCCGUAUUUAGACAAAUCUAAGACAAGAAUUUUGGGACGGAGGGAGUAGUUA
rfam:Triticum aestivum genome assembly, contig: Triticum_aestivum_CS42_TGACv1_scaffold_288793_4AL